rnacentral:rRNA from 1 species
GAUGAACGCUAGCGGCAGGCCUAAUACAUGCAAGUCGAACGGUGUCUUCGGACAUAGUGGCGCACGGGUGCGUAACACGUAUGCAACCUACCCUACAUUGGGUGAUAGCCUUUCGAACGGGAGAUUAAUACCGCAUAAGACAGUAGCUGGGCAUCCAGCAGCUGUUAAAGAUUUAUCGAUGUAAGCUGGGCAUGCGGCCAAUUAGCUAGUGGGUGAGGUAACGGCUCACCAAGGCAAUGAUUGGUAGGGGAACUGAGAGGUCAAUCCCCCACACUGGAACUGAGAUACGGGCCAGACUCCUACGGGAGGCAGCAGUAGGGAAUAUUGGGCAAUGGACGCAAGUCUGACCCAGCCAUGCCGCGUGCAGGAUGAAGGCGUUAUGCGUUGUAAACUGCUUUUAUACAGGAAGAAACGACUCUUGCGAGAGGCAUUGACGGUCCUGUAUGAAUAAGCACCGGCUAACUCCGUGCCAGCCGCCGCCGUAAUAC